GACGAACGCUGGCGGCGUGCCUAAUACAUGCAAGUAGAACGCUGAAGGAGGAGCUUGCUUCUCCGGAUGAGUUGCGAACGGGUGAGUAACGCGUAGGUAACCUGCCUGGUAGCGGGGGAUAACUAUUGGAAACGAUAGCUAAUACCGCAUAACAGUAUAUGUUGCAUGACAUUUGCUUAAAAGGUGCAAUUGCAUCACUACCAGAUGGACCUGCGUUGUAUUAGCUAGUUGGUGAGGUAACGGCUCACCAAGGCGUCGAUACAUAGCCGACCUGAGAGGGUGAUCGGCCACACUGGGACUGAGACACGGCCCAGACUCCUACGGGAGGCAGCAGUAGGGAAUCUUCGGCAAUGGACGGAAGUCUGACCGAGCAAAGCCGCGUGAGUGAAGAAGGUUUUCGGAUCGUAAAGCUCUGUUGUAAGAGAAGAAAGAGUGUGAGAGUGGAAAGUUCACACUGUGACGGUAUCUUACCAGAAAGGGACGGCUAACUACGUG
rnacentral:rRNA from 1 species